AACGAACGCUGGCGGCGUGCCUAACACAUGCAAGUCGAGCGCGAAUGGAGCAAUCCUAGUAGAGCGGCGCACGGGUGCGUAACACGUGGGUAAUCUGCCUGGAAGACCGGAACAACCUGCCGAAAGGCUGGCUAAUGCCGGAUAAGCCUACGGAAUCUUCGGAUUCUGAAGGAAAGGUGGCCUCUGUAUACAAGCUAUCACUUCCAGAUGAGCCCGCGGCCCANCAGCUAGUUGGCGGGGUAACGGCCCACCAAGGCAACGACGGGUAGCUGGUCUGAGAGGACGAUCAGCCACACUGGAACUGAGACACGGUCCAGACACCUACGGGUGGCAGCAGUCGAGAAUUUUUCUCAAUGGGGCGAACCCUGAAGGAGCGACGCCGCGUGGAGGAUGAAGGC
rnacentral:rRNA from 1 species